AGCAGCCGCGGUAAUUCCAGCUCCAAUAGCGUAUAUUAAAGUUGUUGCAGUUAAAAAGCUCGUAGUUGAAUUUCGGGAUCAGUACGCUGGUCGUGCCUUCGGUAUGAACUGGUGUCACUGGUUCCUCCCUUCUGAAGAACCGUCAUGCCAUUCAGUUGGUGUGGCGGGGAAUCAGGACUGUUACUUUGAAAAAAUUAGAGUGUUUAAAGCAGGCUCGCGCUUGAAUACAUUAGCAUGGAAUAAUGAAAUAGGACGUUUGACCCUAUUUUGUUGGUUUCUAGGAUCGACGUAAUGAUUAAUAGGGAUAGUUGGGGGCAUUAGUAUUCAAUUGUCAGAGGUGAAAUUCUUGGAUUUAUUGAAGACUAACUACUGCGAAAGCAUUUGCCAAGGAUGUUUUCAUUAAUCAAGAACGAAAGUUAGGGGAUCGAAGACGAUCAGAUACCGUCGUAGUCUUAACCAUAAACUAUGCCGACUAGGGAUCGGAUGAUGUUAAUUUUUAAUGUACUCAUUCGGCGU
rnacentral:rRNA from 1 species